UGAUCUGAAGGAAAACUGGCUGUGACAUCUGUCAACACAUUGAUUUCCAGGGUUGAUACAGAUGGUCUGAGCUGAUCUCUGGUCUCCCUCACUGAUCUGUUUGUGUCCCUUCCAAUGCUACUUGCUCAUCCAAAGUAAAUGACCUUCUGAAAGAGGACCAGUAAUGAAGGGCAUUUAAAAGAUGUAUUCACUUGAUAUACUUUCUAGAUGUUCAAAAUUUAUUCAAAGAUAUAUUAAUCUGUAGAACAGGUAGAUGAACUUUGGUGGUUCCUUUU
rnacentral:snRNA from 1 species